GAUGAAGAACGUAGCGAAAUGCGAUACUUGGUGUGAAUUGCAGAAUCCCGUGAACCAUCGAGUCUUUGAACGCAAGUUGCGCCCGAAGCCAUCAGGUUGAGGGCACGUCUGCCUGGGCGUCACAUAUCGUUGCCCAAUGCCUAUUGCAGUGCAAUAGGAAUUUCUAGGGCGAAUGAUGGCUUCCCGUGAGCGUUGUUGCCUCGCGGUUGGUUGAAAAUCGAGUCCUUGGUAGGGUGUGCCAUGGUAGAUGGUGGUCGAGUUAGAACGAUACCGAUCAUGUGCAUGCUCCCCAAAUUAUGGCCUCUAUGACCCACACGCGUCUUUUGACGCUCAUGACGAGACCUCAGGUCAGGCGGGGCUACCCGCUGAAUUUAAGCAUAUCAAUAAGCGGAGGA
rnacentral:misc_RNA from 1 species